rnacentral:rRNA from 1 species
UACGUAGGGGGCAAGCGUUGUCCGGAAUCAUUGGGCGUAAAGAGCGCGUAGGCGGUCCGGUAAGUCCGCUCUGAAAGUCCGGGGCUCAACCCCGGGAGGCGGGCGGAUACUGUCGGGCUAGAGUCCGGAAGAGGCGAGUGGAAUUCCCGGUGUAGCGGUGAAAUGCGCAGAUAUCGGGAAGAAUACCCGUGGCGAAGGCGGCACUCUGGGACGGUACUGACGCUGAGACGCGAAAGCGUGGGGAGCGAACAGG